ensembl:lncRNA
CAGCAGCCCCAGGUUAACAUAUCCUGGUUCGGCACCAUCCGUGUGAUUUACAGUCACCUGGGUCCUAGGCCCAGUGAUCACUGAUUGAAAGUGGUCGGGAAAGGGACCUCUGUGUCUGGUGUUUCACGCAUAUUAUCUCAUCCUUUAUGGCAGACCUGUUCUCAUCUCCAUUUGACUGGUGAAGAAAAUGCAGCUCAGAAAAGUUCAGCAAACUGCCCAAGGUGACGCAGAGCUCCCAGGAGAGGCUGGUGCUGUCACCCAGGACCACACUCUGACUAACCCGUUCUCAUCCUCUGGACUCUGAGGCACACUGUGUAGACAGCACCAGAGUCAAGCUCCUUUAGGUGCAAAGUGGUUAGGAAUGUGGACCCUGGAGCCAGAUGUUUUGGGUUCAAAUCUUACCCCUGCCUGUGUGAACUUGAGCAAGUUGCUUAACUUCUCUGAGCCUUGGUUUCACCAUCGGUGAGCUGCAGAUGAUGGCGAUGCUGAUCUCACAGAGCAGAGGAUUAAAGGAGUGAUCACUGGUGUAAUUGCUCUCCUGGCCCGGACUUUGCUCCCUCACCGAUGGGAACCCCGCUUCUGCAUCUUGAUAUUAAGAACAGAUACUGAGAGCUGAAUGGGGCAUUGUUUCCUGGCCAGAUCAGUAGCUGCUGCCUGCACUUAGUGAGCAAGCAGUCCAAGACUGGCAGCCCAACCUAGACCACACUGUGGCUUGCUUUGAUUACUUGGUUCCAUCCCGCUCCAAUCAGGAAUGGAUCACACAUGUCCAGGUUUGCAUUUGCUCUUCCUCCCCCACGUGUUUUCCACAGUUGCAACUUAAAGGAGUGGGUUUGGGGUUGGAAGCCUACUUCGGUUUCUGUGUGUUGAGGGGGUUGGGCUGGAGUAACAGGGGAUGUCCCCUGGUUG